GGACGAACUUGGCGCCCCGGCCUUCGGGCGGUUAUUUUUGGGCGCGGCUGUGCCCGCGGCCUAUUUUUGGCACACGGAGGUGCCUCGCAAACUCUCGCGCCAUUCCGAGUCCGGCGGACAAAGUUGGCAGGCCCCACCCCCCAAGGCUAUAGCCCACCCGUUUUUGUGGCCUUUUUCCGCUGGACGAACUUGGCGCCCUGGUCUUCGGGCGGUUAUUUUUGGGCGCGGCUGUGCCCGCGUCCUAUUUUUGGCACAUAGAGGUACCCCGCAAAGUCUCGCGCCAUUCCGAGUCCGGCGGACGAAGUUGGCCAGCCCCACCCCCCAAGGCUAUAGCCCACCCGUUUUUGUGGCCUUUUUCCGCUGGACGAACUUGGCGUCCCGGCCUUCGGGCUGUUAAUUUUGGGCGCGGCUGUGCCCGCGGCCUAUUUUUGGCACACGGAGGCGCCUCACAAAGUCUCGCGCCAUUCCGAGUCCGGCCGACGAAGUUGGCCAGCCCCACCCCCCAAGGCUAUAGCCCACCCGUUUUUCUGGCCUUUUUCCGCUGGACGAACUUGGCGCCCCGGCCUUCGGGCGGUUAUUUUUGGACGUGGCUGUGCCCGCGGCCUACUUUUGGAACACGGAGGUGCCUCGAAAAGCCUCAUGCCAUUCCAAAUCCGCUGGACGAAGUUGGCCAUCCCCACCCCCCAAGGCUAUAGCCCACCCGUUUUUGUGGCCUUUUUCCGCUGGACGAACUUGGCGCCCCGGCCUUCGGGCGGUUAUUUUUCAGCGCGGCUGUGCCCGCGGCCUAUUUUUCGUACACGGAGGUGCCUCGCAAAGUCUUGCGCCAUUCCGAGUGCGGCGGACGAUGUUGGCCAGCCCUCCCCCCCCUUGGCUAUAGCCCACCCGUAUUUGUGGCCUUUUUCCGCUGGACGAACUUGGCGCCCCGGCCUUCGGGCGGUUAUUUUUGGUCACGGAUGUGCCCGCGGCCUAUUUUUGGCGCACGGAGGCGCCUCGAAAAGUCUCCCGCCAUUCCGAGUCCGGCGGACGAAGUCGGCCAGCCGCACCCCCCAAGCCUAUACCCCACCCGUUUUUGUGGCCUUUUUCCGCUGGACGAACGUGCCACCCCGGCCUUCGGGCGGUUAUUUUUGGGCGCGGCUGUGCCCGCGGCCUAUUUUUGGCACAAGGAGGUGCCUCGAAAACUCUCGCGCCAUUCCGAGUGCGGCGGACGAAGUUGGCCAGCCCCACCCCCCAAGGCUAUAGCCCACCCGUUUUUGUGGCCUUUUUCCCCUGGACGAACUUGGCGCCCCGGCCUUCGGGCGGUUAUUUUUGGGCGCGGCUGUGCCCGCGGCCUAUUUUUGGCACACGGAGGCCCCUCGCAAAGUCUCGCGGCAUUCCGAGUCCGGCGGACGAAGUUGGCCAGCCCCACCCCCCAAGGCUAUAGCCCACCCGUUUUUGUGGCCUUUUUCCGCUGGACGAACUUGGCGCCCCGGCCUUCGGGCGGUUAUUUUUGGGAGCGGCUGUGCCCGCGGCCGAUUUUUGGCACACGGAGGUGCCUCGCAAACUCUCGCGCCAUUCCGAGUCCGGCGGACAAAGUUGGCAGGCCCCACCCCCCAAGGCUUUAGCCCACCCGUUUUUGUGGCCUUUUUCCGCUGGACGAACUUGGUGCCCCGGCCAUCGGGCAGUUAUUUUUGGGCUCGGAUAUGACCGCGGCCUAUUUUUGGUACACGGAGGCGCCUCGUAAAGUCUCGCGCCAUUCCGAGUCCGGCGGACGAAGUUGGCCAGCCCCACCCCCUAAGGCUACUGCCCACCCGUAUUUGUGGCCUUUUUCCGCUGGACGAACUCGGCGCCCCGGCCUUCGGUCGGUUAUUUUUGGGCGCGGCUGUGCCCGCGGCCUAUUUUUGGCACACGAAGGCCCCUCGCAAAGUCUCGCGCCAUUCCGAGUCCGGCGGACGAAGUUGGCCAGCCCCACCCCCCAGCGCUAUAGCCCACCCGUUUUUGUGGUCUUUUUCCGCUGGACGAACUUGGCGCCCCGGCCUUCGGGCGGUUAUUUUUGGGCGCGGUUUGCCCGGGGCCUAUUUUUGGCGCACGGAGGCCCUUCACAAAGUCUCGCGGCAUUCCGAGUCCGGCGGACGAAACUGGCCAGCCCCACCCCCCAAGGCUAUAGCCCACCCAUUUUUGUGGCCUUUUUCCGCUGGACGAACUUGGCGCCGCGGCCUUCGGGCAGUUAUUUUUCGGCGCGGCUUUGCCCGGGGCCUAUUUUUGGCACACGGAGGCCCCUCGCAAAGUGUCGCGGCAUUCCGAGUCCGACUGACGAAGUUGGCCAGCCCCACCCGCCAAGGCUAUAGCCCACCCGUUUUUGUGGCCUUUUUCCGCUGGACGAACUUGGCGCCCCGGCCUUCGGGCGGUUAUUUUUGGGCGCGGCUUUGGCCGCGGCCUCUUUUUGGCACAUGGUGGCCCCUCGCAAAGUCUCACGGCAUUCCGAAUCCGGCGGACCAAGUUGGCCAGCCCCACCCCCCAAGGCUAUAGCCCACCCGUUUUUGUGGCCUUUUUCCGCUGAACGAACUUGGCGCCCCGGCCUUCGGGCAGUUAUUUUUGGGCGCGGCUUUGCCCGCGGCAUUUUUUUGGCACACGGAGGCCCCUCGCAAAGUCUCACGGCAUUCCGAGUCCGGCGGACGAAGUUGGCCAGCUCCACCCCCCAAGGCUAUAGCCCACCUGUUUUUGGUUUCUUUUUCCGCUGGACGAACUUGGCGCCCCGUCCUUCGGGCGGUUAUUUUUGGGCGCGGCUUUGCCCGCGGCCUACUUUUGGCACAUGGAGGCCCCUCGCAAAGUCUCGCGGCAUUCCGAGUCCGGCGGACGAAGUUGGCCAGCCCCACCCCCCAAGGCUAUAGCCCACCCGUUUUUGUGGUCUUUUUCCGCUGGACGAACUUGGCGCCCCGGCCUUCGGGCGGUUAUUUUUGGGCGCGGCAUUGCCCGCGGCCUAUUUUUGGCACCCGGAGGCCCCUCGCAACAUCUCGCGGCAUUCCAAGUCCGGCGGACGAAGUUGGCCAGCCCCACCCCCCAAGGCUAUAGCCCACCCGUUUUUGUGGCCUUUUUCUGCUGGACGAACUUGGCGCCCCGGCCUUCGGGCGGUUAUUUUUGGGCGCAGCUAUGCCCGCGGCCUAUUUUUGGCACCCGGAGGUCCCUCGCAAACUCUCGCAGCAUUCCAAGUCCGGCGGAUAAAGUUGGCCAGCCCCACCCCCCAAGGCUAUAGCCCACCCGUUUUUGUGGCCUUUUUCUGCUGGACGAACUUGGCGCCCCGUCCUUCGGGCGGUUAUUUUUGGGCGCGGCUAUGCCCACGGCCUAUUUUUGGCACCCGGAGGCCCCUCGCAAACUCUCGCGGCAUUCCGAGUCCGGCGGACGAAGUUGGCCAGCCCCACCCCCCAAGGCUAUAGUCCACCCGUUUUUGUGGCCUUUUUCCGCUGGAUGAACUUGGCGCCCGAGCCUUCGGGCAGUUAUUUUUAGCGCGGCUUUGCCCGCGGCCUAUUUUUGGCAAACAGAGGCCCCUCGCAAAGUCUCGCGGUAUUCCGAGUCCGGCGGACGAAGUCGGCCAGCCCCACCCCCCAAGGCUAUAGCCCACCCGUUUUUGUGGCCUUUUUCCGCUGGACGAAUUUGGCGCCCCGGCCUUCGGGCAGUUAUUUUUGGCCGCGGCUUUGCCCACGGCCUAUUUUUGGCACACGGAGGCCCCUCGCAAAGUCUCGCGGCAUUCCGAGUCCGGCGGACGAAGCUGGCCAGCCCCACCCCCCAAGGCUAUAGCCCACCCGUUUUUGUGGCCUUUUUCCGCUGGACGAACUUGGCGCCCCGGCCUUCGGGCGGUUAUUCUUGGGCGCGGCUUUGCCCGCGGCAUAUUUUUGGCACACGGAGGCCCCUCGCAAUGUCUCGCGGCAUUCCGAGUCCGGCGGACCAAGUUAGCCAGCCCCACCCCCCAAGGCUAUAGCCCACCCGUUUUUGUGGCCUUUUUCCGCUGGACGAACUUGGCGCACCGGCCUUCGGUCGGUUAUUUUUGGGCUUGGCUUUGGCCGUGGCCUAUUUUGGCAACGGAGGCCCCUAGCAAAGUCUCCCGGCAUUCCGAGUCCGGCGGACGAAGUUGGCCAGCCCCACCCCCCAAAGCUAUAGCCCACCCGUUUUUGUGGCCUUUUUCCGCUGGACGAACUUGGCGCCCCGGCCUUCGGGCGGUUAUUUUUGGCCGCGGCUUUCCCCGCGGCCUAUUUUUGUCACACGGAGGCCCCUCGCAAAGUCUCGCGGCAUUCCGAGUCCGGCAGACGAAGGUGGCCAGCCCCACCCCCCAAGGCUAUAGCCCACCCGUUUUUGUGGCCUUUCUCCGCUGGACGAAUUUGGUGCCCCGGCCUUCGGGCGGUUAUUUUUGGGUGCGGCUUUGCCCGCGGCCUAUUUUCGGCACACGGAGGCCCCUCGCAAAGUCUCGCGGCAUUCUGAAUUUGGCGGACGNNNNNNNNNNNNNNNNNNNNNNNNNNNNNNNNNNNNNNNNNNNNNNNNNNNNNNNNNNNNNNNNNNNNNNNNNNNNNNNNNNNNNNNNNNNNNNNNNNNNNNNNNNNNNNNNNNNNNNNNNNNNNNNNNNNNNNNNNNNNNNNNNNNNNNNNNNNNNNNNNNNNNNNNNNNNNNNNNNNNNNNNNNNNNNNNNNNNNNNNNNNNNNNNNNNNNNNNNNNNNNNNNNNNNNNNNNNNNNNNNNNNNNNNNNNNNGCGCCCCGGCUUUCGGGAGGUUAUUUUUUGGCGGGGGCUUUGGCCACGGCUUAUUUUUGGCACACGGAGGCCCCUCGCAAAUUCUCGCGGCAUUCCGAGUCCGGCGGAUGAAGUUGACCAUCCCCACCCCCCAAGGCUAUAGCCCACCCGUUUUUGUGGCCUUUUUCCGCUGGACGAACCUGGCGCCCCGGCCUUCGGGCGGUUAUUUUUGGGUGCAGCUUUGUCCGUGGCAUAUUUUUGGCACACGGAGGUCCCUCGCAAAGUCUCACGGCAUUCCGAGCCGGCGGACGAAGUUGGCCAGCCCCACCCCCCAAGGCUAUAGCCCACCCGUUUUUGUGGCCUUUUUCCGCUGGACGAACUUGGCGCCCCGGCCUUCGGGCGGUUAUUUUUGGGCGCGGCUAUGCCCACGGCCUAUUUUUGGCACCCGGAGGCCCCUCACAAACUCUCGCGGCAUUCCGAGUCCGGCGGACGAAGUUGGCCAGCCCCACCCCACAAGGCUAUAGCCCACCCAUUUUUGUGGCCUUUUUCCGUUGGACGAACUUGGCGCCCCGGCCUUCGGGCUGUUAUUUUUGGGCGCGGCUUUGUCCGCGGCCUAUUUUUGGCACACGGAGGCCCCUCACAAAGUCUCGCGGCAUUCCGAAUUCGGCGGACGAAGUUGGCCAGCCCCACCCCCCAAGGCUAUAGCCCACCCGUUUUUGUGGCCUUUUUCCGCUGGACGAAUUUGGCGCCCCGGCCUUCGGGCAGUUAUUUUUGGCCGCGGCUUUGCCCACGGCCUAUUUUUGGCACACGGAGGCCCCUCGCAAAGUCUCGCGGCAUUCCGAGUCCGGCGGACGAAGCUGGCCAGCCCCACCCCCCAAGGCUAUAGCCCACCCGUUUUUGUGGCCUUUUUCCGCUGGACGAACUUGGCGCCCCGGCCUUCGGGCGGUUAUUGUUGGGCGCGGCUUCGCCCGCGGCCUAUUUUUGGCACACGGAGGCCCCUCGCAAAGUCUCGCGGCAUUCCGAGUCCGGCGGACGAAGUCGGCCUGCCCCACCCCCCAAGGCUAUAGCCCACCCGUUUUUGUGGCAUUUUUCCGCUGGACGAACUUGGCGCCCCGGCCAUCGGGCGGUUUAUUUUUGGGCACGGCUUUGUCCGCGGCCUAUUUUUGGCACACAGAGGCCCCUCGCAAAGUAUCGCGGCAUUCCGAGUCCGGCGGAUGAUGUUGGCCAGCCCCACCCCCCAAGGCUAUAGCCCACCCAUUUUUGUGGCCUUUUUCCGUUGGACGAACUUGGCGCCCCGGCCUUCGGGCUGUUAUUUUUGGGCGCGGCUUUGCCCGCGGCCUAUUUUUGGCACACGGAGGCCCCUCACAAAGUCUCGCGGCAUUCCGAAUUCGGUGGACGAAGUGGGCCAGCCCCACCCCCCAAGGCUAUAGCCCACCCGUUUUUGUGGCCUUUUUCCGCUGGACGAAUUUGGCGCCCCGGCCUUCGGGCAGUUAUUUUUGGCCGCGGC
rnacentral:lncRNA from 1 species